GUCUAUGGCCAUGCCACCCUGAACAAGCCCGAUGUUUGAUCUCGGAAGCUAAGCGGGGUCGGGCCUGGUUAGUAAUUGGAUAGAAGAUCACCUAGGAAGACCAGGUGCUGUGGACA
rfam:Pteropus alecto contig21944, whole genome shotgun sequence.